UUUAUUUUAUUUUAUGGGUAUAAUCAGUUUCAUCCUGUUGAUGGGAGGGGUUGGUAUGUUAUCUUUGAUGUGGGUGUAUUCAUGAUAUGGUUCAUGAGCAUGUAGAGGAGUAG